rnacentral:rRNA from 1 species
UGCAGUCGAGCGGAUGAAGGGAGCUUGCUCCUGGAUUCAGCGGCGGACGGGUGAGUAAUGCCUAGGAAUCUGCCUGGUAGUGGGGGAUAACGUCCGGAAACGGGCGCUAAUACCGCAUACGUCCUGAGGGAGAAAGUGGGGGAUCUUCGGACCUCACGCUAUCAGAUGAGCCUAGGUCGGAUUAGCUAGUUGGUGGGGUAAAGGCCUACCAAGGCGACGAUCCGUAACUGGUCUGAGAGGAUGAUCAGUCACACUGGAACUGAGACACGGUCCAGACUCCUACGGGAGGCAGCAGUGGGGAAUAUUGGACAAUGGGCGAAAGCCUGAUCCAGCCAUGCCGCGUGUGUGAAGAAGGUCUUCGGAUUGUAAAGCACUUUAAGUUGGGAGGAAGGGCAGUAAGUUAAUACCUUGCUGUUUUGACGUUACCAACAGAAUAAGCACCGGCUAACUUCGUGCCAGCAGCCGCGGUAAUACGAAGGGUGCAAGCGUUAAUCGGAAUUACUGGGCGUAAAGCGCGCGUAGGUGGUUCAGCAAGUUGGAUGUGAAAUCCCCGGGCUCAACCUGGGAACUGCAUCCAAAACUACUGAGCUAGAGUACGGUAGAGGGUGGUGGAAUUUCCUGUGU